ACGGGUGAGUAACGCGUGGGUAACCUGCCUUGCACAGGGGGAUAACAACUGGAAACGGUUGCUAAUACCGCAUAAUAUCGGAGAACCGCAUGGCGCUUCGAUCAAAGUUUUUCGGUGUAAGAUGGGCCCGCGUCUGAUUAGCUAGUUGGUGAGGUAAUGGCUCACCAAGGCGACGAUCAGUAGCCGGCUUGAGAGAGUGACCGGCCACAUUGGGACUGAGACACGGCCCAAACUCCUACGGGAGGCAGCAGUGGGGAAUAUUGCACAAUGGGGGAAACCCUGAUGCAGCGACGCCGCGUGAGUGAAGAAGUAUUUCGGUAUGUAAAGCUCUAUCAGCAGGGAAGAAAAUGACGGUACCUGACUAAGAAGCCCCGGCUAACUACGUGCCAGCAGCCGCGGUAAUACGUAGGGGGCAAGCGUUAUCCGGAUUUACUGGGUGUAAAGGGAGCGUAGGUGGUUCGGCAAGUCAGAUGUGAAAGCCCGGGGCUCAACCCCGGGACUGCAUUUGAAACUGUCGUACUAGAGUGCAGGAGAGGUAAGUGGAAUUCCUAGUGUAGCGGUGAAAUGCGUAGAUAUUAGGAGGAACACCAGUGGCGAAGGCGGCUUACUGGACUGUAACUGACACUGAGGCUCGAAAGCGUGGGGAGCAAACAGGAUUAGAUACCCUGGUAGUCCACGCGGUAAACGAUGAAUACUAGGUGUUGGGGGUCAAAAGACCUUCGGUGCCGGCGCAAACGCAUUAAGUAUUCCACCUGGGGAGUACGUUCGCAAGAAUGAAACUCAAUGAAUUGACGG
rnacentral:rRNA from 1 species